CCGAAGAUGCAGAAUACGUACGG
rnacentral:siRNA from 1 species